GCGGCAUUGAACGAUUAGCAGACACAGAAAGCCACUCCUGUGCCUUUGACAAUGGAAACAGGUCAGAUUUCUGAUUGCAUUUACAGCAGCUUCAUGCAGGAGUAUCUCAUGAAAACGUCAAUAUACUUGGACAUAAACAAUUAUUGUUCAGCUGUAUCCCAGACUAAUCAGGGAGAAAAUGUCAAACAACAGUGUGGAAAGGACAAAGACAGCAAGUAGGGUGUUGACAUUUGUGUUCUCACUCCCUUUGGGAGAAGAUCCUCGAAAUGGCAGAAGAGGUCAUGACCAUUCAUGUGGGGAUAGAGAAAGUCAGGAGAAAGUGAUUCCUGAUGAAACAUCGAUUCUCCUGCUCCUCGGAUGCUGUCUGACCUGCUGUGCUUUUCAGCACCACAUCCUUGACCCCCCAUUCAUGUGGGGAUGCCAAGGUUUCCACUGUCAAGGCAACCAGUCACUGAAGGCACCCACAAGGCCUCAAUCACAAAGAUUCUGGAUUAGUGGUGCUGGAAGAGCACAGCAGUUCAGGCAGCAUCAGAGGAGCAGU